GCCUGGCUAGCUCAGUUGGUAGAGGAUGAGAUUCUUAAUCUCAGGGUUGUGGGUUCGAGCCCCACGUUGGGCC
rnacentral:tRNA from 1 species